AUUGAACGCUGGCGGCAGGCCUAACACAUGCAAGUCGAGCGGAGCGGCGGACGGGUGAGUAAUGCCUAGGAAUCUGCCUGGUAGUGGGGGAUAACGUCCGGAAACGGGCGCUAAUACCGCAUACUAUCAGAUGAGCCUAGGUCGGAUUAGCUAGUUGGUGGGGUAAAGGCCUACCAAGGCGACGAUCCGUAACUGGUCUGAGAGGAUGAUCAGUCACCAUGGAACUGAGACACUGCCCAGACUCCUACGGGAGGAAUCAGAGGGGAAGAUUGGACAAUGGGCGAAAGCCUGAUCCAGACAUGCCGCGUGUGAGAAGAAGGUCUUCGGAUUGCAAAGCACUUUAAGUUGGGAGGCGUUACCAACAGAAUAAGCACCGGCGAACUUCGUGCUAGCCGCCGCGGUAAUAC
rnacentral:rRNA from 1 species